UACGAAGGGGGCUAGCGUUGUUCGGAUUUACUGGGCGGAAAGCGCACGUAGGCGGAUCGAUCAGUCAGGGGUGAAAUCCCAGAGCUCAACUCUGGAACUGCCUUUGAUACUGUCGAUCUGGAGUAUGGAAGAGGUGAGUGGAAUUCCGAGUGUAGAGGUGAAAUUCGUAGAUAUUCGGAGGAACACCAGUGGCGAAGGCGGCUCACUGGUCCAUUACUGACGCUGAGGUGCGAAAGCGUGGGGAGCAAACAGG
rnacentral:rRNA from 1 species